UUCUAACUUGUACAAUAUUUUCUAAAUGGGAAUUCUCAAGGCAAGACAUCCAACCCUGGAAAAAAUAAUUCUCUCUUUCUCUUCCAGAGGUUCUGGGGCACCAAAGACCUUGAUCCUCAACAGGACCUGGGGAGAGAGGUAGAGAGAGUCUCUGUGUCAUCCUGACCCUAUCCAGGGCCCUUGCCUUCGCCAGGUGAGGGCCAUUCAUUCUCCAUCUCUCACACACCUGGGCUCCAUCUACACUCUCUCAUUUUUCUCUGGGUGUCCAUGUGCAAUAAAAUCUCAGAUACUCACAUUCUGGGAGAAAAGUGAGAUUCCUAAGCCUAGUCCUUGAUUUGUGUGCUACUUAGCUCAAAACCUCUUUUUUGAUACUUAGCACCAUGUAGGUGUGCAAAUAAAACAUAAUCAGGUUUUUAUCUGGCUUAAAAGUUAGACCAGGGUUAUAAUGAAGUGGAAGUAUUGAAGAGUCCUUGGCAGCCUCCCAAUUGGCUUCCAAUUCAUCUGUGGUUAUUUGCUAAGUUUCAGGUUGCAUAAGUGGAAUAGUCACGCUCAGCAAAUGGUACGGUUUCCCAAGAAAUUCAUGGUGAGGACAGAAAUGAUUUCACAACCCACUGCUGGAAUCUUACAAAUUCUGUUUCUACCACAUCAGUGUUACAGAAAGAAGUUACAGAAAAGACAUUUGUUCAUUAAGAAAACAGCAAGACACUCAGAGUAGAUACACAAUUGCCUGUCCUAGGUGAACUGGCAUGAAAUAAGAAUUUUUCAAUUCAUGGCUAUUUCAUUCAGGUAGAGCCAUAGGACUUUCCCAUAGGUGUCAGAAAGGUUGUAAUAGAAAGAGAAGGGUAAGGGAGUGCCUGUAGGCUUCUGGACUGAGAGAGGGGAUUUGGAAUGUGAAUAACUGAGUCGCGGGGUGUGAGGGGAUGUGUCUGAGCUGAGUAGGACUGAGGGGGAGCCACAUUCUACACUGAAAACAGAGUGGGGGGCACUCCUGGGGUCUCCCUUUCACUUACCUGGACUCCAAACCUCACAGGUCCCUUCACUCAACCAGGAAAAACAAAAGCAAAAACCCCUGCGCUGUCUCUCUUUCUCAGGUUAGGCAUGGGGGAUAAACAAUUUUGUUUCAGGAAAGGUUGAGACCCAGACUUAGAAAAAGCUAACUCGUUCAUGUCAAGAGUGCUCAUGGCUUCUUCUCCGAGAAAACACCAAAUGGCGGAUGACGCCCGUGCAGCUGGGGGGCCCGGAGGCCCUGGUGGCCCUGGGAUGGGGAACCGCGGUGGCUUCCGCGGAGGCUUCGGCAGUGGCAUCCGGGGCCGGGGUCGCGGCCGCGGACUGGGCCGGGGCCGAGGCCGCGGAGCUCGCGGAGGCGAGGCCGAGGAUAAGGAGUGGAUGCCUGUCACCAAGCUGGGCCGCUUGGUCAAGGACAUGAAGAUCAAGUCCCUGGAGGGGAUCUACCUCUUCUCUCUGCCCAUUAAGGAAUCUGAGAUCAUUGACUUUUUCUUGGGGGCCUCUGUCAAAGACGAGGUUUUGAAGAUUAUGCCGGUGCAGAAGCAGACCGGUGCUGGCCAGAGCACCAGGUUCAAGGCGUUUGUUGCUAUCGGGGACUACAAUGGCCACGUCGGCCUGGCUGUUAAGUGCUCCAAGGAGGUGGCCACCGCCAUCCGUGGGGCCAUCAUCCUGGCCAAGCUCUCCAUUGUCCCUGUGUGCAGAGGCUACUGAGGGAACAAGAUCGGCAAGCCCCACACCGUCUCUUGCAAGGUGACAGGCCGCUGCGGCUCUGUGCUGGUGCACCUCAUCCCUGCACCCAGGGGCACUGGCAUGGUCUCAGCGGCUGUGCCCAAGAAGCUGCUCAUGAUGGCUGGUAUUGAUGACUGCUACACCUCAGCCCGGGGCUGCACUGCCACCCUGGGCAACUUUGCCAAGGCCACCUUUGAUGCCAUCUCUAAGACCUACAGCUACCUGACCCCUGACCUCUGGAAGGAGACUGUGUUUACCAAGUCUCCCUAUCAGGAAUUCACUGACCACUUUGUCAAGACCCGCACCAGAGUCUCCGUGCAGCGGGCCCAGGCUCCAGCUGUGGCUACAACAUAGGGUUUUUAUACAAGAAAAAUAAAGUGAAUUAAGCCUG